rnacentral:rRNA from 1 species
AGUGAACGCUGGCGGUAGGCCUAACACAUGCAAGUCGAACGGCAGCACAGUAAGAGCUUGCUCUUACGGGUGGCGAGUGGCGGACGGGUGAGGAAUACAUCGGAAUCUACUUUUUCGUGGGGGAUAACGUAGGGAAACUUACGCUAAUACCGCAUACGACCUACGGGUGAAAGCAGGGGAUCUUCGGACCUUGCGCGAUUGAAUGAGCCGAUGUCGGAUUAGCUAGUUGGCGGGGUAAAGGCCCACCAAGGCGACGAUCCGUAGCUGGUCUGAGAGGAUGAUCAGCCACACUGGAAUUGAGACACGGCCCAGACUCCUACGGGAGGCAGCAGUGGGGAAUAUUGGACAAUGGGCGAAAGCCUGAUCCAGCCAGACCGCGUGGGUGAAGAAGGCCUUCGGGUUGUAAAGCCCUUUUGUUGGGAAAGAAAAGCAGCAGGUUAAUACCCCGCUGUUCUGACGGUACCCAAAGAAUAAGCACCGGCUAACUUCGU